AGGCCCUGCGCGCCACCAGCGAAUCGCUUCGAGCGAAGGAACACGCUCUUGGCUCUAUUUUACUAUUGUUCUUUUACCGGCUGGGCCCCUAGUUAGUAAGAUGAGCUUCCGGGCGUCGUUUGCAAUCCCUUGGGUUUGCCUGCAAAUAUGGCCUAUUUUAGGUGUGGUGGCAUUUAAAAUCAACACGCAUCAGAGGCUGAGUCUGUCUGACAACUCCACGCUUUUAUCUCCCUGAUCCUCUCAGUCCCUCUUUUGACGUCUACAAAUCAGGAAAGUGAUCAGAGAAGAAACUGAAGCUCCAACAGUUCAAAUGUCUAAAGUCACCUACGUGGAUGAUUUGUGGAAGAAGAGGAGGGAGCAAUGAUCACAGAAUGUAAAUGCUAAGAAACUGAGGUCCAGAGCCACGGAGCGCCUUCUGCAAAGUAAGCAAAGCAGUUAAUAGCAGGGCUGGGACAGUAACACCCA